UUAAUUACUUUGACGGAGAAGAGUAGAUAAAUACUUCUGUACAGAGAGGAAGAUCCGAGGGCUGAGAGAUUUUCUCAUAAAAGGUUUAUUGAAGGUAGCUCUUGAGUUUUCAGAUUGAAAUGACAGUAAAUCUGAACGGGUAAUUCCGUUAUAUAGUUUGUUAUAAUUAAGAGCCGCAGCAUGUUUGGCGGAAUUAAGGUGGUACCGCGUAUUAACCCUUCGUCCUUAUA
rnacentral:ncRNA from 1 species